GUCCACGCUGUAAACGAUGGGCACUAGGUGUCGCGGGUAUUGACCCCUGCGGUGCCGCAGCUAACGCAUUAAGUGCCCCGCCUGGGGGACUACGGCCGCAAGGUUAAAACUCAAAGGAAUUGACGGGGGCCCGCACAAGCGGUGGAGCAUGUGGUUCAAUUCGACGCAACGCGAAGAACCUUACCCGGGCUAGACAACAGAGGACAGCCCUAGAAAUAGGGUCUUCCCUUCGGGGACCUCUGGUUCAGGUGCUGCAUGGCUGUCGU
rnacentral:rRNA from 1 species